rnacentral:rRNA from 1 species
CCUACGGGCGGCAGCAGUGGGGAAUUUUGCGCAAUGCUCGUAAGAGUGAAGCAGCGACGCCGCGUGAAUGAUGAAGGCCCUCUGGUCUUUAAGUUGUUUUUACAGGGAAGAAAAUGCCUAUAAGUGACUGUGUUUGUAUUUACGGUACCAGUAUAAGCAGCCCAGGCUAUCUCCGUGCCAGCAGCCGCGGCAAUAGGGGGGGGGCGUGUGUUGUUUGGUGUGACUGGGCUUAAAGAGCACGUAGGCGGUGUUGUAAGUCAUUAGUCAAAGAGUAGAGCUCAACUUUAGUAAGGCUAUUGAUACUAUAAUACUAGAGUAUCAGAGAGGAAGGCAGAAUUCCUGGUGUAGCGGUGAAAUGCGUAGAUAUCAGGAGGAAUACCGAUAGCGAAGGCAGCAAUCUGGCUGGAAACUGACGCUGAGGUGCGAAAGCGUGGGUAGCAAACAGGAUUAGAUACCCGAGUAGUC